AGCAUUGGAGUAGCAUACUUCAGAUGGCGACCGGCGCACGGGUGAGUAACACGUAUCCAACCUGCCGCUUACUCGGGGAUAGCCUUUCGAAAGAAAGAUUAAUACCCGAUGGUAUAAAGAGUUCGCAUGUUCUCUUUAUUAAAGAAUUUCGGUAAGCGAUGGGGAUGCGUUCCAUUAGAUCGUUGGCGGGGUAACGGCCCACCAAGUCUACGAUGGAUAGGGGUUCUGAGAGGAAGGUCCCCCACAUUGGAACUGAGACACGGUCCAAACUCCUACGGGAGGCAGCAGUGAGGAAUAUUGGUCAAUGGACGAGAGUCUGAACCAGCCAAGUAGCGUGAAGGAUGACUGCCCUAUGGGUUGUAAACUUCUUUUAUAAGGGAAUAAAGUGAGGGACGUGUCCCUUUUUGUAUGUACCUUAUGAAUAAGGAUCGGCUAACUCCGUGCCAGCAGCCGCGGUAAUACGGAGGAUCCAAGCGUUAUCCGGAUUUAUUGGGUUUAAAGGGAGCGUAGGUUGACAUAUAAGUCAGCUGUGAAAGUUUACGGCUCAACCGUGAAAUUGCAGUUGAUACUGUAUGUCUUGAGUGUACAAGAGGUGGGCGGAAUUCGUGGUGUAGCGGUGAAAUGCUUAGAUAUCACGAAGAACUCCGAUUG
rnacentral:rRNA from 1 species